AUCAGUUCAAGCCAAUUUUCCUGGGUACGGUUGAUCCCAACACUGAGUUAAGCAAACUGACCCGCGCUUGCAAUACCCAGAAGUGCAUCCGAGCAGGUGGCAAGCACAACGAUCUCGACGACGUGGGCAAGGACACUUAUCAUCAUACCUUUUUCGAAAUGCUUGGUAAUUGGUCGUUUGGAGACUAUUUUAAGAAUGAGGCAAUUCAAUGGGCUUGGGAGCUUCUAACUAAGGCGAGUUUCCCGCACUUCUACUGCACACAUGUAUACGAACAUGCAUACAAAACUGAUUCAUUUUAUUUUUAUUUUUUUAAUUUUCAACUGUAUCAUUUCUUUCAGGUGUAUAAAUUACCACAGGAUAGAUUUUAUGCCACUUAUUUUGGGGGCGAUGAGAAACUUGGCCUUCCUGCCGAUUCUGAAGCAAGGGAUAAUUGGCUCAAGUUUCUCCCACCUGCCCGUGUUCAUACCUUUUUCGAAAUGCUUGGUAAUUGGUCGUUUGGAGACUAUUUUAAGAAUGAGGCAAUUCAAUGGGCUUGGGAGCUUCUAACUAAGGCGAGUUUCCCGCACUUCUACUGCACACAUGUAUACGAACAUGCAUACAAAACUGAUUCAUUUUUUUUUU
rnacentral:lncRNA from 1 species